GGCACGGUGGUGCAAUGGGUAGCACUGUCGCCUCAAAAGAAGGUGCUUGGUUCGAAUCCGGCCUGGACCU
rnacentral:tRNA from 1 species